CGGACCUGACUGCUAUCGGAUUSAUHCUAAGCCAUGCGAGUCAUUGUAGCAAUACAAGGCAUACGGCUCAGUAACGCGUAGUCAACCUAACCUAUGGACGGGAAUAACCUCGGGAAACUGAGAAUAAUGCCCGAUAGAACAUUAUGCCUGGAAUGGUUUAUGUUCCAAAUGAUUUAUCGCCGUAGGAUGGGACUGCGGCCUAUCAGUUUGUUGGUGAGGUAAUGGCCCACCAAGACUACUACAGGUACGGGCUCUGAGAGGAGUAGCCCGGAGAUGGGUACUGAGACACGGACCCAGGCCCUAUGGGGCGCAGCAGGCGAGAAAACUUUGCAAUGUGCGAAAGCACGACAAGGUUAAUCCGAGUGGUUUCUGCUAAAGGAACCUUUUGUCAGUCCUAGAAACACUGAUGAAUAAGGGGUGGGCAAGUUCUGGUGUCAGCCGCCGCGGUAAAACCAGCACCUCAAGUGGUCAGGAUGAUUAUUGGGCCUAAAGCAUCCGUAGCCGGCUCUGUAAGUUUUCGGUUAAAUCUGUACGCUCAACGUACAGGCUGCCGGGAAUACUGCAAAGCUAGGGAGUGGGAGAGGUAGACGGUACUCGGUAGGAAGGGGUAAAAUCCUUUGAUCUAUUGAUGACCACCUGUGGCGAAGGCGGUCUACCAGAACACGUCCGACGGUGAGGGAUGAAAGCUGGGGGAGCAAACCGGAUUAGAUACCCGGGUAGUCCCAGCUGUAAACCAUGCAAACUCAGUGAUGCAUUGGCUUGUGGCCAAUGCAGUGCUGCAGGGAAGCCGUUAAGUUUGCCGCCUGGGAAGUACGUACGCAAGUAUGAAACUUAAAGGAAUUGGCGGGG
rnacentral:rRNA from 1 species